ACGUAUUUCGACACCAUCACUUGAUCACAACCUCUGUCUGAACCUCCAAGCAUGUCGCCGGAGAUACGAGAAGAUGACCGGAAUAACCAUUUACGCAGCCCUGCUUCGUACCCGCCGGAGUUCGGAGCAUUCACCGGCGCUUCCACGGAACGCCUCGUUUACGACGACACCGCGCGUUGUCGGAAAAGGAAAGAACGUCGCCGGAGAAUCAAGCACCUUCGCCGGGGAUCAGAAUUCACUUCGUGUUCACGUCGGAGUUUAACACUAUUUCGGAUAAUCACAUUCGUGCAUUUGAAUUCUCCAUCCUUAACUCGUGCGCUCUUACAAGAAAUCGCAACGCAAUCAAUGU